rnacentral:rRNA from 1 species
GACGAACGCUGGCGGCGUGCUUAACACAUGCAAGUCGAACGGGUCUGCCCUGUUUUUUGCGGGGUGGGUCAGUGGCGAACGGGUGAGUAACACGUGAGUAACCUGCCCCUCACUUCUGGAUAACCGCUUGAAAGGGUGGCUAAUACGGGGUGUUCUGGCUGUGCCGCAUGGUGUGGCUGGGAAAGAUUCACUUUUGUGGUGUUUUGGUGGGGGAUGGGCUCGCGGCCUAUCAGCUUGUUGGUGGGGUGAUGGCCUGCCAAGGCUUUGACGGGUAGCCGGCCUGAGAGGGUGGGCGGUCACACUGGGACUGAGAUACGGCCCAGACUCCUGCGGGAGGCAGCAGUGGGGGUAUUGCACAAUGGGCGGAAGCCUGAUGCAGCGACGUCGCGUGAGGGAUGGAGGCCUGCGGGUUGUGAACCUCUUUCGCCGGUGAAGAAGGUCCUGCUCUUUGGGGUGGGGUUGACGGUAGCCGGGUUAUGAAGCGCCGGCUAACUACGUG